UAUCUUUGGGGGUCGUCUCUCUAGUACUGUUACUUGUCUGGAGUGUGGACACUCUUCAUUAGUCUAUGAGCCAUUAUUGGAUCUCUCAUUACCGGUUCCCACUAAGAAGACUCCGUCUAAAAAAGCUCAACCAGUUUCCCGUAUGAAGAAGGCAAAACAUGCUCCAAAGAGAAGUGGAAGACUGUGCCCCAAAAUUAAUAGAGAUGCAGCUUCUCCUAAUUCUCAAAGUGCUCAAGAAAGUGUUAGCAAGUCGUUCUGCCAGGUACAGUCUAGUGCGCCCAUCGCUGAGGGAAUGGAAGUUCCCUCUGAUUGUGCAUUGGUAGAUUCUCUUGAUGCUAGUUCUAUGGCUG
rnacentral:misc_RNA from 1 species